rnacentral:rRNA from 1 species
CAAUAGCGUAUAUUAAAGUUGUUGCAGUUAGAACGCUCGUAGUCGGAUUUCGGGGCGGGCCGACCGGUCUGCCGAUGGGUAUGCACUGGUCGGCGCGUCCUUCCUUCCGGAGACCGUCCCUACUCUUAACUGAGCGGGGGCGGGAGACGGGACUUUUACUUUGAAAAAAUCAGAGUGUUUCAAGCAGGCAGCUCGCUCUUGCAUGGAUUAGCAUGGGAUAAUGAAAUAGGACUUUGGUGCUAUUUUGUUGGUUUCGAACACCGAAGUAAUGAUGAGAAGGGACAGUCAGGGGCAUUCGUAUUCCGCCGAGAGAGGUGAAAUUCUCAGACCAGCGGAAGACGAACCACUGCGAAAGCAUUUGCCAGGGAUGUUUUCACUGA